rnacentral:rRNA from 1 species
UCCGUAGGCGGGAUAAUAAGUCAGUGGUGAAAGCCCACAGCUCAACUGUGGAAUUGCCAUUGAAACUAUUGUUCUUGAAUCUAGUUGAAGUGAACGGAAUGUAACAUGUAGCGGUGAAAUGCAUAGAUAUGUUACAGAACACCAAUUGCGAAGGCAGUUCACUAAACUAGUAUUGACGCUAAGGGACGAAAGCGUGGGUAGCGAACAGGAUUAGAUACCCUGGUAGUCC